UUUUUAUAUUUGUCUGUUUAUCUGUUUGGGUUUGUUUUGUUUGUUUCUUUGUUUUUUGUUUGUUUGGUUUUGUUUUUUAAGAUAGGGUUUCUUUGCAUAGCCCUGGCUAUCCUGAAACUUAAUCUGUAGACCAGGUUGGCCUUGAAUUCAAAAGAUAGACCUAUCUCUGCCUCCUAAGAGCUACAUAUUUUUACCCUCAGAAAUAUUGCAGUCUAAGUAAGGAGAAGCAAACAAAGGCACUAUCUGGGAAGGCAAAUAGAGAAACUUAAAUAAAAUAGGUUAUUUGAUGCCAGGUAUUCAAUGGAGAAAGGAGAAAGGAAAUCCUACUGGGGUAGCCAGAAAAGAUUGACGUGCUGGGGAUGAUGGUGCACACCUUUAAUCCAGCUUCUGGAGGAAGAAGCAAUAAAUCUCGAUAAGUUAAAGGCCACCCUGGUACACAUAGUGAGUUCCAGGACAGACAGGGCUACAUGAUGAGACUCUGUCUCAAAAGGAAAGGAAAGGAAAAAAAGAGAGAAUGCUGACUUAAUUAAAGAUGGGUGGUUUUUUAGUAACAGGAAAGGGAAGCCAGUUUUGGAGGGAGAAAAUCAAAUGAAUAUUGAUAUUAUUCAUACUCAGGAAAAAAAGCCUUAAAGACUCUUAGGAAGUAAAAAUGGGGGGGCAUAUGAUUUUUUUCUUUUUAAUUUACAUAUAUGUAAAGCUUCAGGCAGAUUCAUCUGUCAGCAGUAUUUAUGAUUAAUGCAUCCAUUUUGCAUCUAGAAUUAUACAGGUCUGAAUUAAAGGGGGAAAUGUGAAAAUUGCUAAUUAGAAAACCAGUCAUAAACAAAAUGUAUAAAGGUUGGUUACUAGUAGAUUAUUAAAAGAUAAAGACAAUGAUAUCCACUGAAAUCCUAACAUCAUUCCUAAUAUUCAUUAUAAGAACUAACAGCAUUCAAUGAGCAAAAUAUUUUCAUAUUGCUUCAUCCUAAUAAGCAACACCAAGGGGGUGUUUUAUUUAUCUUUAGUAGCUAAAUAAGUAGCUAACUAUACGAGACCACAUAGCUAGUAAUAAUACUUCAAUUACUCUAAGGCAGCAAUUCUCAAAAUUUGGUCAUUAAAUCCCUGAGAAAGGAGCCCUAAGGACCCUUUUUGGUUGAAUCCCUGAAAACAAAACUAUUGUCAUAGUAAUUAAAACAUGAUUUGCCUUUUUUACUAUGUUGGUAUUUGUACUGAUGGUACCAAAGCAGUGGGUGAAAUUACUGGCUCCUGCACUUAUGUAGCAGAUGUGCAACUUGGUCUUCAUGUGGGUCCCCCCAACAACUGGAGUGGGGGUUGUCUCUGACUCUGUUUCCUGCCUGUGGAUCCUGUUCUCCUAGCCUUGUCUAGCUUUAGUAGGAGAGGGCCCAGUUCUAUAUGUGCCUGGAUGGGCUAGUACCCAGGGGUCCCCUCCCUUCUCAGAGGAGAAAGGGAGGGGGUGGGAGAGGAGGUUUUGGGGAAGGGGCUAGUAGGAGGGGGGCUUCUAUCAGGAGGUAAAGCAAAUACAAAAUUUAAUGGGGUGGGGGGAGAAAAAUUACUGGCUUACUGGCUCUUCACCAUGACUCAAGACAACAGCACUGAACUAUAGCUGUUCUUUGUUCUUACUGCAUUUUGGAAGAAGAAAGCUUCCUAGUUUCACUUAAGAGUGCUUUAUGAAGGAUGUAAUAAAAAAGAUUGUUAAUCUUAAUUCUUAAUCUGUAUUAUUACAUUUAUUUUGUGUGUAUAUGUAUGUAGGCAAACAUGUGGUCAGGAUAAUUUGCAAAGAGGAAUUGUUUCUCUCAUUCUAUCUUGUGGAUUCUAGAGGUUGAUGAUGAACUUGGGUUGUCAGACUUGGAAGCAAGCACUUUUACCUGAUAAGCCAUCUUAAAGUACAUGGUUUUUAACUGUUUUGCAUGGUGAAAUGUGAAUGUAUAAAGGUAUACUUUCAUACUGGACAACAGUGAUUAUUUUAAGAAAAACCACUUGUAUAGUGAAUGGUAAGAUGAACUAACAACUUACCUCAUAUUCUGUUUUUCUUUGAAAUGAUUGGCUUUUUAGACAUGGGUAUCUACCUGUAGGCAUUUUCUCAAAAAUAAAAUUAUUCUAUCAGGACAAGGAAAACAAGAUAGCAUUUACUACAAAUGAUAAAAGGACCUGUCAAAUGAAAUUAGAAAUGUGGAAGAUUUGGAUUUGCUGUCAUGACAUUAACAACUUCUAAUACUUAACAUUUCUGACAUCACUUGUUUUUUUUUGUUUGUUUGUUUUUUUUUUGUUUUUUUCGAGACAGGGUUUCUCUGUGUAGCCCUGGCUGUCCUGGCACUCACUUUGUAGACCAGGCUGGCCUCGAACUCAGAAAUCCACCUGCCUCUGCCUCCCAAGUGCUGGGAUUAAAGGCGUGCGCCACCACGCCCGGCUAUGACAUCACUUUUGAUAUUAUAAAUAUGAUUUAAAAAAAAAAAAGCCUGGAAUCGUGGCACAUGCUUUUCAUCCCAGAAUUUGGGAAGUGGGAGCAGUAGGAUCAGAAAUUCAAGGAUAGUUUCAAGCAAGCUAAGUACUAGUUUAGUUUGAGGCCAUCUUAGGCUACAUGAGAUCCUGUC
rnacentral:lncRNA from 1 species